rnacentral:rRNA from 1 species
UACGUAGGGUGCGAGCGUUAAUCGGAAUUACUGGGCGUAAAGCGCGCGUAGGCGGCUGCCUAAGUCGGGUGUGAAAGCCCCGGGCUCAACCUGGGAACUGCACUCGAUACUGGGCGGCUAGAGUAUGAGAGAGGGAGGUAGAAUUCCACGUGUAGCGGUGAAAUGCGUAGAUAUGUGGAGGAAUACCGGUGGCGAAGGCGGCCUCCUGGUUCAAUACUGACGCUGAGGUGCGAAAGCGUGGGGAGCAAACAGG